rnacentral:misc_RNA from 1 species
CGUAACAAGGUCUCCGUUGGUGAACCAGCGGAGGGAUCAUUACCGAGUACUACACUCAUAACCCUUUGUGAACCAUUAUACCUGUUGCUUCGGCGGCGUCCCUCGCGGGCGCCCGCCGGUCUCAUCAGAAUCUCUGUUUUCGAACCCGACGAUACUUCUGAGUGUUCUUAGCGAACUGUCAAAACUUUUAACAACGGAUCUCUUGGCUCCAGCAUCGAUGAAGAACGCAGCGAAACGCGAUAUGUAAUGUGAAUUGCAGAAUUCAGUGAAUCAUCGAAUCUUUGAACGCACAUGGCGCCUUCCAGUAUCCUGGGAGGCAUGCCUGUCCGAGCGUCGUUUCAACCCUCGAGCCCUCGUGGCCCGGCGUUGGGGAUCUGCCACGGCAGGCCCCGAAAUACAGUGGCGGACCCGUUAGGCCCUUCCUUUGCGUAGUAGCAUUAGCCUCGCAUCGGGAGCCGGCGGGCUCUCCUGCCUCUAAACCCCCCAACAAGCCCGCUCCGGCGGCACCAAGGUUGACCUCGGAUCAGGUAGGAAUACCCGCUGAACUUAAGC